ACGCUCGACACCUACGGUAGGCAGCAGUGGGGAAUAUUGCACAAUGGGGGAAACCCUGAUGCAGCGACGCCGCGUGAGUGAAGAAGUAUUUCGGUAUGUAAAGCUCUAUCAGCAGGGAAGAAAAUGACGGUACCUGAGUAAGAAGCCCCGGCUAACUACGUGCCAACAGCCGCGGUAAUCUGAGCGGGCUGGCAAGGC
rnacentral:rRNA from 1 species